CCCCAGACUGAAAUAUAAUGAAUAUAUAAAAAAUUGAUUUUAAAAAAGUAAAAAUUAACAAGAUCCAACAAAUGUGAUGUUGCUGAUG
rnacentral:snoRNA from 1 species